GCCUAGUUAGCUUAGUUGGUAGUGCGUCUGCCUUGUAAGCGCUAGGCCGCGGGUUCGAUUUGUAGAUUAAGCGCUUGUAAGCGCUAGGCCGCGGGUUCGAUUCCCGCCCGGGGCG
rnacentral:tRNA from 1 species